GGUUGGUCCGAGUACAGUGGUGUUUACAACCAAUAGAUCACAGUCGGUUACAGAUUGCUUUGUUCCUUCUCCAGUCCCACUGCUUCACUUGACCAGCCUUUA
rnacentral:Y_RNA from 1 species